CGCUGUCGAGCCUUAAAGAAAGGUCCAACAGUUGCCCAAAACCAAUUGGGGGUACAAAAUCCAAAACAGCGCAUAAUCUGACCCCGGAAAAGAGUCGGCGUCCCGAAUUAGAACCACAGCUUGAAUCGAGGAAAGUCACUACAUCUUCCUCAACCUGGCGAAAUUGUUUGGUAUUAUAGGUAGGCAACAGGAGGUUUAGUCUUUUGUAAUAGUAUCAUUUAUGGAUGAUUUGUGUCAUCACUAUUCGAUGCCCAACUUCAAAAGAAAGCUCAACAAAGGGAGCAAAUGUCAUUUUCAAUGGAGAUUUGAAGGCAGAAAGGGGAAGACUUCAAGCUCAUUUUCAAGUAUCAGCAUCAACUAAAUGAAGAGUAGCUGGAAAUGGUGGCAAGGUCUCUUGAUGAGUGGGAUAUAACCAGAAAGUUGGUCGGUUAUUUCUCAACUCCAGGGCUGCCCCAUCUCAUGGGGAUGUGACUUGCCUGCCAAUUUGGUUUACGCCAAUGUUCCAAGGGUCCCGUAUUAUGAAUACUGAAUAUAAAAGGACCUUGUUCUAGCUACAGUUCAAUAAAGAAAUAUGCCGAGGAAUUUUUGUGGAAAGGGGUAUGUGCUUCCCAUUCUCAUCUGUUCUUUGAAUUUAGAAGUUCAAGAAAUGCAGCCUGCUAGUGUGAAAAGGAGUCUAUAGAAAUCUUAACCUUGACUUCAAGCUAAACACCAAUAGCUAGAGUUCACAUGCGGAAAAGUGUUCAAUGAAUUUGCAAAUACAGAACCCGAAAAAUUUAAAACAUGACCCUACACCAGGGAGUCUGCAGUGCCUGAUGGUCUGUUCUCUACAAUCCUAUGAACAAUAGGUUCAACAAUAGAUUUAAAUUCCCUUUUGUAUACUACCCGUUGACUCUUUAUACAUUAGCAUAACAUUUUUCUGCUUGCACAAUUGCUGUAGUCAAUUAUAAAGUUCCUGUUCCUUUA